UAACCCACUGAGCGAGACCAGGGAUUGAACCCACAUCCUCAUGGAUACUAGCCAGGUUCUUAACCCGCUGAGCCACAAUGGGAAGUCCUAGGACUUGUUUUUUUUCCUCCAUAGUUUCGUUUGGCCCCCUAGUCCCCUCCCGCCUUUCACAAUAUUCUCAUACCCUUUUUCCCAUCCGGCCAUCCAGAUGUGGGGGCCUCCUUUAGUCUCUGUUCACCACAUCUGCCGUGGCCCAGCCGUUUAUAUCUGCAUUUCUGCUUUCCUCUGUGAUUUAUACUCCCUGUCCUGCCUCUCCCCCAUCCUGACUGUUCUUGCUUGUUCUGGCCCCACCAUCUCACAGGCUGCUGUCCCACCUGCCCACGCAGGUCAUCCUUCUAAGCCCUGGUCUGUAUCUUAGUCACCCUACCGUUCUGCCCAAACUGUCCUGGUGGUCACCUCUUUCUGGUACCUUGCCUGUUCUUCUUCUCAUUCUCCCUGGUGACCUCUUUUAUUUCUCAAAUCUCUUUGUUUUCUUCUCUCACUGUUUUUACUCUAUUCUCCUUCCCUUACAAAUCCCAAAGUAUGUUCAAGUUAUGUAUUCCAUCCUCCUCUCUGCCUUUUCUCUUGGGUCUCUGAACUCCACGCAGUCUGCCAGUCACCACCCACCCUGUUUGCGCCUUGAGAUUCUGCCCCCUACAGGUAGUCUCUUCCCUUUCCCAUACCGCCUCUAUCUUUCUUGUGUGUCCCAGGAGGUCAGGAUGGUGGGGGAACGGCGCGCUGGGGACCUCAUGGUGCCCUUGGGGCCCCGGCUGCAGGCAUAUCCUGAAGAACUUCUUCGACAGCGGCCUGGGCAUGAUGGGCGUCCUGAGUACCUGAUCCGAUGGAGUGUCCUGAAGUGUGGGGAAGUGGGCAGAGUGGGUGUGGAAGAGGGCAAGGCAGAGCACAUCCUCAUGUGGCUGUCAGCCCCCGAGGUCUACGCCAACUGCCCCAUGCUGUUAGGUGAGCGGGCAUUAUCUACGGGACCUCAGCACGAAACAGCUGGGGGUUCAGGAAGCUUUCCCCGAGAUCCAGGAGGCCUGGAUGAUGUGGCACUGGGAGAGAUGGAGGCUGAUGUGCGGGCGCUGGUGCGCAGGGCUGCCAGGCAGCUGGCAGAAGGUGGGACCUCGAGCCUCACGGCCGCUGUGCUCCACACCAUCCAUGUGCUCAGCGCCUACGCCAGCAUCGGGCCUCUCACUGGGGUCUUCCGGGAGACGGGCGCCCUGGACCUGCUCAUGCACAUGUUGUGCAACCCCGAGCCUCAGAUCCGGCGUAGCGCAGGCAAGAUGCUGCAGGCUCUGGCAGCCCAUGAUGCUGGGAGUCGGGCCCAUGUCCUCCUGUCACUGAGCCAGCAGGACGGCAUCGAGCAGCACAUGGACUUUGAUAGCCGCUACACUUUGCUGGAGCUGUUCGCAGAGACCACGUCUUCUGAGGAACACUGCAUGGCCUUUGAGGGCAUUCAUCUGCCUCAGAUCCCAGGAAAGCUGCUCUUCUCCCUGGUGAAACGCUACCUGUGUGUCACUUCCCUGCUGGAUCAGCUGAAUAACAGUCCAGAGCCAGGGGCUGGAGACCGAGGCUCCCCAUCCUCAAGGGAGGAUUUUGGCCAGGAGAAAAGCCGAGGGCAGCGGGAGCUGGAGUUCAGUAUGGCCAUGGGCAGCCUCAUCUCAGAGCUGGUGCGGAGCAUGGGCUGGGCCCGGAACCUUGGCGAACAGGGCACAUCGCCACCCCGGCCGUCCCGAUCCAUCUUUCAGCCUGGCAUUUCUGGCCCCAGCCUCUUACUUCCCUCCAUCGUCGCCAUCCCCAGGAGGCAAGGGCGGGCCUUCCGCCAGCGCGCCGAGUUCUCUAGCCGCAGUGGCUACGGUGAGUAUGUGCAGCAGAACCUGCAGCCGGGGAUGCGUGUGCGGAUGCUGGAUGACUACGAGGAGAUCAGCGCCGGGGACGAGGGCGAGUUCCGGCAGAGCAACAACGGUGUACCCCCAGUGCAGGUCUUCUGGCAGUCAACGGGCCGAACCUACUGGGUGCACUGGUACAUGCUGGAGAUCCUGGGCCCCGAGGAGGCUGCUGAGGAGACGGCUUCAGCAGCUGCAGAGAAGGGGGCAGGGGCUGCUCUGUUAGGCACAGCACUUCCCCCCUGGGACUGGAAGCCAGUGGACGGGCUCUACUCUUUGCCGUACCUCCAGCCCGAGCCUCAGAAGAAUGAGGGAUUAGGAUACCUGACCCAGGCGGAGUGGUGGGAGCUGCUCUUCUUCAUCAAGAAAUUGGACAUAUGUGAGCAGCAGCCAAUUUUCCAGAAUCUUCGGGAGAAACUAGAUGAGACCCCAGGCGAGCAGGCCCUCGGUGAGAUCUCCGUGCCCUCAGCGAUGGCCGAAGAUCUGCUGCAGGUUCUCAGGAAUCGGUUUGAGGGCAGUGCCCUCAGUGACCUGCUCAGCUCGCAAAUUUACGCCAAGUACGGGCGGCCACCCCGUGCCCCGAGCAGCUCAUCGUCGUCGUCUUCCCCAAGUCGCUCCUGCACGCCAGAUCCGGAAGAGGAGUGCAAGUCAGAGGCCACCUUCUCAGAGGAAGAGACUGAGUCCCCCAAAGCCAAGACCGAGCCCCUCAAGGCAGAGGCUGAGGCCGGCAAGGGAAAAACCGAGCCUCCCAUGGCACAGAGUGAUUCCCAGCUGUUUAACCAGCUUCUGGUGACUGAGGGGAUGGCUCUGCCCCCCGAGAUGAAGGAGGCAGCCAAUGAGAUGGCUAGAGCCUUGCGGGGUCCCGGGCCGCGAAGCUCCCUGGAUCAGCACGUGGCUGCCGUCGUGGCCACUGUGCAGAUAUCCAGCUUGGACACACAUCUGCAGCUUUCAGGGCUCUAUGCCCUCUCGCAGGCCGUGGAGGAGGUCACCGAGCGGGACCACCCUCUGGUCCGUCCUGACCGAUCCCUGAGAGAGAAGCUAGUGAAGACGCUGGUGGAGCUGCUAACCAACGAGGUGGGAGAGAAGAUGGUGGUGGUGCUGGCCCUGCGCCUUCUUUACCUGCUCAUGACCAAACACGAGUGGCGCCCACUCUUUGCCAGGGAGGGUGGCAUCUAUGCUGUGCUCGUUUGCAUGCAAGAAUACAAGACCUCCGUCUUGGUGCAGCAAGCAGGGCUGGCGGCCCUGAAGAUGCUGGCCGUUGCCAGCUCCUCGGAGAUCCCCACUUUCGUUACCGGCCGAGAUUCUAUCCACCCUUUGUUUGACGCCCAGAUGACCAGGGAGAUCUUCGCCAGCAUCGACUCAGCCACCCGCCCGGGCUCUGAGAGCCUGCUCCUCACUGUCCCUGCAGCAGUGAUCCUGAUGCUGAACACAGAGGGGUGCUCCUCAGCAGUGAGAAACGGCCUGCUCCUGCUCAACCUGCUUUUGUGCAACCACUACACGCUGGGAGACCAGAUCAUAACCCGCGAGCUCAGAGACACCUUGUUUAGGCACUCGGGAAUAGCGCCGGGGACAGAACCCAUGCCCACCACGCGCACCAUCCUCAUGAUGCUUCUCAAUCGCUACUCGGAGCCGCCGGGCAGCCCCGAGCACGCAGCCUCACUGGAGUCCCCUGGUGCCCGGGGCCAGGAUGGGUCCCCUGAGCUGCUGAUCCGGUCCCUGGUGGGGGGCCCAUCUGCAGAGCUCCUCCUGGACUUGGAGCGUGUGCUGUGCCGCGAGGGGGGCCCCGGGGGCGCCGUGAGGCCCCUUCUCAAGCGCCUCCAGCAGGAGAGCCAGCCCUUCCUCCUAUUUCUGCGGACUCUGGAUGCUCCUGGGCCCAACAAAACUCUGCUGCUGACGGCGCUGAGGGUCAUGACCCGGCUGCUGGAUCACCCGGAGGCAGUGGUCCUCCCCUGGCAUGAGGUCUUGGAGCCCUGCCUCAACUGUCUGAGUGGCCCUAGCAGUGACUCUGAGAUCGUUCAGGAGCUGCUCUGCUUCCUGUACCGCCUGGCCUCGAUGCACAAGGACUAUGCCGUGGUGCUCUGCUGCCUGGGAGCCAAAGAGGCCCUCGCCAAAGUCCUGGACAAGCACUCGGCUGAGCUGCUGCUGGCCUGCGAGCUCCGGGACCUGGUGACAGAGUGUGAGAAACAUGCCCAGUUGUACAGCAACCUCACCUCCAGCAUCCUGGCUGGCUGCAUUCAGAUGGUGCUGGGCCAGAUUGAAGACCACAGACGCACCCACCGCCCCAUCAACAUCCCCUUCUUUGACGUGUUCCUCAGGCACCUCUGCCAAGGCUCCAGUGUGGAGGUGAAGGAGGACAAGUGCUGGGAGAAGGUGGAGGUGUCCUCCAACCCGCACCGGGCAGGCAAGCUGACCGACCGAAACCCCAAGACCUACUGGGAAUCCAACGGCAGCACUGGCUCCCACCACAUCACCUUGCAUAUGCACCGCGGUGUUCUUGUUAGGCAGCUGACUCUGCUGGUGGCCAGUGAAGACUCAAGUUACAUGCCAGCCAGGGUGGUGGUGUUUGGGGGUGACAGCGCCAGUUGCAUCAGCACGGAGCUCAACACGGUCAACGUGAUGCCCUCUGCCAGCCGGGUGGUCCUCCUGGAGAACCUGAACCGCUUCUGGCCUGUCAUCCAGAUCCGCAUAAAGCGCUGCCAACAGGGUGGCAUCGACACCCGGGUUCGGGGCGUGGAGGUCCUGGGCCCCAAGCCCACUUUCUGGCCGCUAUUCCGAGAGCAGCUGUGUCGCCGGACGUGUCUCUUCUACACAAUUCGGGCGCAAGCCUGGAGCCGGGACAUUGCAGAGGACCGCAGGCGUCUCCUCCAGCUCUGUCCCAGACUGAACAGGGUUUUGCGGCAUGAGCAGAACUUUGCCGAUCGCUUCCUCCCUGACGACGAGGCCGCCCAAGCCCUGGGCAAGAGCUGCUGGGAGGCCCUGGUCAGCCCCCUGGUGCAGAACGUCACCUCCCCUGAUGCAGAAGGUGUGAGCUCCCUGGGGUGGCUGCUGGAUCAGUACUUAGAACAGAGGGAGAGCUCGCGGAACCCCCUGAGUCGAGCAGCAUCCUUUGCCUCUCGCGUCCGUCGCCUUUGCCACUUGCUAGUGCACGUGGAGCCUCCGCCUGGGCCUUCUCCCGAGCCGUCCACUCGGCCCCUCAGCAGGAACAGUAAGGGUCGGGACCGGAGCCCCGGGCCUUCACCAGUUCUUCCGAGCAGCAGCCUGAGGAACAUCACCCAGUGCUGGCUGAGUGUGGUGCAGGAGCAGGUGGGUGGUGGCGGCAGAGAUCGGGGUGAGCGGGGGCAGCCAGGCUGCCCCUUUGAUGUGGUUUCCCCUUUCUCUCAGGUCAGCAGGUUCCUGGCUGCAGCCUGGAGGGCCCCUGACUUCGUGCCCCGAUACUGUGACCUCUACGAGCGCUUGCAGAGAGCGGGCUCGGAGCUCUUUGGGCCCCGGGCGGCCUUCACCCUGGCCUUGCGCAGCGGCUUCUCUGGCGCCUUGCUGCAGCAGUCCUUCCUCACGGCUGCUCACAUGAGCGAGCAGUUUGCCAGGCACAUUGACCAGCAGAUCCAGGGUGGGCUGAUCGGCGGAGCCCCUGGAGUGGAAAUGCUGGGGCGGCUUCAGCGGCACCUGGAGCCCAUCAUGGUCCUCUCUGGCCUGGAGCUGGCCACGACCUUUGAGCAUUUCUACCAGCACUACAUGGCGGACCGUCUCCUGAGCCUGGGCUCGAGCUGGCUGGAGGGGGCCGUGCUGGAGCAGAUUGGCCUCUGUUUCCCCAACCGCCUCCCCCAGCAGAUGCUGCGGAGCCUGAGCACCUCGGAGGAGCUGCAGCGCCAGUUCCACCUCUUCCAGCUUCAGCAGCUGGACAAGCUGCUCUUGGAGCAGGAGGAUGAGGGGGAACAGGGCCUGGAAGAGGAGGAGGACCAAGAGGAGGAAAAGGAGGCUGAGAAAGAACUAUUUAUCGAAGAUCCGAGUCCAACAGUUUCUAUAAUGGUCCUGUCACCACGCUGCUGGCCGGUCUCCCCACUCUGCUACCUGUACCAUCCCAGAAAGUGCCUUCCCACAGAAUUCUGUGAUGCCCUUGACCGCUUCUCCAAUUUCUACAGCCAGAGUCAGAACCAUCCCGUCCUGGAUGUGGGGCCACAUCGGCGACUGCAGUGGACGUGGCUGGGCCGGGCUGAGCUGCAGUUUGGGGACCAGACGCUGCAUGUGUCCACUGUACAGAUGUGGCUGCUAUUGAAUUUCAAUCAGACAGAGGAGGUGUCGGUAGAGGCCUUGCUGAAGAAGUCUGACCUCAGCCCAGAGCUGCUGCUCCAGGCACUUCUGCCCCUCACCACGGACAGCGGCCCUUUGACCCUGCAGGAGGCUCAGGAUUUUCCUCACGGGGGUGUGGUGCAGCUCCGUGAGCCUGGGCUCCAGGCCCAGGGGGAGCCCCUGUGGCUGCUCCCGGCCCAGAUGUACCUGAAUGUGGAGAAGGAUGAGGGCCGGACCCUGGAGCAGAAGAGGAACCUCCUGAGCUGUCUUCUUGUCCGUAUCCUCAAAGCCCACGGGGAAAAGGGCCUCCACAUUGACCAGCUGGUUUGCCUGGUGCUGGAGGCCUGGCGCAAGGGUCCCAAUCCCCCUGGCAGCCUGGGCCGCGCUGUGGCCGGCGGCGUGGCCUGUAGCAGCUCGGAUGUUCUCUCCUGCAUCCUGCACCUCCUGGGCCAGGGCUACGUGGAGCGGCGGGAUGACCGGCCCCAGGUCCUGAUGUAUGCCGCUCCAGAGCCUGCGGGGCCCUGCCGGGGUCAGGCAGAGGUCCCCUUCUCUGGCAGCCAGACCUGCGUGGAGAGCUCCAAGCCUAGCCCGGAAGCUGUGGCUGCCUUGGCAUCCCUACAGCUGCCUGCAGGCCGCACCAUGAGCCCCCAGGAGGUGGAAGGGCUGAUGGAGCAGACCGUGCGGCAGGUGCAGGAGACGCUGAACCUGGACCCCGAUGUGGCUCAGCACCUUCUGGCUCAUUCCCACUGGGGUGCCGAACAGCUGCUGCAGAACUACAGCGACAACCCGGAGCCGCUGCUGCUGGCGGCUGGGCUGUGCGUCCCCCAGGCCCAGCCCGCCCCCGCACGCCCCGACCACUGCCCUGUCUGCGUCAGCCCCCUGGAGCCUGAGGACGACUUGCCGGCCCUCUGCUGCAGGCACUACUGCUGUAAGUCUUGCUGGAACGAGUACCUGACGACUCGAAUUGAGCAGAACCUUGUGCUGCACUGCACCUGCCCCAUCGCCGACUGCCCUGCCCAGCCCACGGGAGCCUUCAUCCGUUCCAUCGUCUCCUCGCCCGAAGUCAUCUCCAAGUACGAGAAAGCCCUCCUGCGUGGCUACGUGGAGAGCUGCUCCAACCUGACGUGGUGCACCAACCCCCAGGGCUGCGACCGCAUCCUGUGCCGCCAGGGCCUGGGCUGUGGAACCACUUGCUCCAAGUGUGGCUGGGCCUCCUGCUUCAACUGCAGCUUCCCUGAGGCCCACUACCCUGCCAGCUGUGGCCACAUGUCUCAGUGGGUGGAUGACGGCGGCUACUACGAUGGCAUGAGUGUAGAGGCCCAGAGCAAGCAUCUGGCCAAGCUCAUCUCCAAGCGCUGUCCCAGCUGCCAGGCUCCCAUUGAGAAGAACGAGGGGUGUCUGCACAUGACUUGUGCCAAAUGCAACCAUGGAUUCUGCUGGCGCUGCCUCAAGUCCUGGAAGCCAAAUCACAAAGACUAUUACAACUGCUCCGCCAUGGUAAGCAAAGCAGCUCGCCAGGAGAAGCGGUUCCAGGACUAUAAUGAGAGGUGUACUUUCCAUCACCAGGCCCGGGAGUUUGCUGUGAACUUGCGGAACCGCGUGUCUGCCAUCCACGAGGUGCCCCCACCCAAAUGCUUCACCUUCCUCAGCGACGCCUGCCGGGGUCUGGAGCAGGCUCGAAAGGUGCUGGCCUAUGCCUGCGUGUACAGCUUCUACAACCAGGACACGGAGCACGUGGACGUGGUGGAGCAGCAGACGGAGACCCUGGAGCUGCACACCAACGCCCUGCAGAUCCUCCUUGGUGAGGCCCUCUCCCCCAGCACCCCUGGACCUGAACAUGAAGAGGAGACGCUGCUGCGCUGCAGGGACCUGGCCUCAUCGCUGCGCCUGCUGCGGGCUGAGCACCUCAACACGGGCCUGGAGCUGCUGCGGCGGAUCCAGGAGAGGAUGCUCGCCAUCCUGCAGCACUCCACCCAGGUAGCCGCCUCUCCCCCGCCCCUGCAGCCUCCUGCCCUGGGGGUCCCGAAGGAAGGAGGGCAAGUGGGUGUUAGGAGACUGGGCGUGCGCGGCUCCCAAGCCAGCCUGCCCUUUAACCACCAGGCUGGCAUUCCCUACAGGGUGAAGGAAUCAGCCCAGAUUGAGGGUGUUAGGUCAGGUGGUUGCUCCCCAGAAUCAUCUGGGGAAUUUUUCCAGGAGAUACUUCCCAGAUGUGGAUUCAGAAUCCUAGGAGUCGGGGCUGGGGGAUUGGGAUCCAGCAGAGUAAGGGAUCUCUGAGGUUCUCUCAGCUCUAAGACACUGCUGUUAAGUCUAAAUUAGGAGUUCUGCCCUCAGGGAGCUUACACACUGGUAAGUAACUCACGCAGGAAAGGCACGAACAUACACGUAAGCCCGGGGGUGGUGCUUCACCAGCAUCUCCUGGGUCCCUGGAGCCCACCUCGAGUCAGUCCACAGGGGCAGUGCUUGGUGGGGAGCUGUGCUGAGCGGGGGAGGCGGCGGGAGCAGCCUGGCUGGGGCUCAGCGCCUCGCAGGCCCUCAGGGAACGCUGGCUGAAGGAAUGCUGGGCACAGAGGCACAGCACCCCCUCCCCUCCUGCUGCCACAUCCCCGUGUCCUUGCCAGGACUUCAGGGUUGGCCUCCAGAGUCCAUCGCUAGAGGCCCGGGAGGUGAAAGGAUCCAACGUUCCCGGCAGUCAGCCACAGGGCUCCUCGGGGCUGGAGGGGGAUGAGGAAGAGGAAGACGACGAGGAGGAUGACGUGCCCGAGUGGCAGCAGGAUGAGUUUGAGGAGGAGCUGGACAAUGACAGCUUCUCCUAUGAUGAGGAGUCUGAAAACCUGGACCGAGAGACUUUCUUCUUCGGCGACGAGGAAGAAGAUGAUGAGGCCUAUGACUGAGGGGCAGGGGGCAGGAAGGAUGCAGGGGGAGUCUCUGCUAGGUGGGGAGGCCAGGGUGUUCCCGGGGACCAGAGCCCCGGCGCCCUUUCCCCAUCUCCGGGGGGCCUUCUGUUUACUCAAUAAACUUUUUUCAUAUAUUCUCUGGAA